rnacentral:sRNA from 1 species
AGCCAGCUCUUCUCUGCCCCGCUUCCUGCCACUCAGCCCCAUCUCCUGCAGUCCUGAUGGAGGACUGACCCACUCUGCCCUGCGUCCAUCCCACCUCCUGAUCCUUCAUUCUCACUUCCCUGGGCCUUUGUAUUUUGUAAAGUCCAGCUACAAACCAGGGUUGUGCCAUUCUGCCCAGGAUCUGCCCUUGGUUGGAGCCCUUCAUUCCUGCUUGCCACACCCUGCUCACUUCUGCCAAGAACUGUCCUAGGAAGCCUGCAGACUUGUCCUGACCCCUAGGCUUGUGGCUUAGCCAAAGACACCCCCCUAGUUCAUUGGGCAUUCCGUAGACUCAAACACAUUUUGGGAAGCACCUCCCCUGCCAAGAAGAGAGCUAUGCCGUCUCCCGAGGUGCUCCCUUGCUAACAUGUGUGACAUUGGCCCCAGAGGUCCAGGCAGAGAGGAAGGAUGAUAGUCAUCCAGUCCACGUGGACAACUGCAUCCUGAAUGCCGAGACCCUCGUGUGUGUCAAAGAGCCCCCAGCCUACACGUUCCGGGACUACAGCGCCAUCCUUUACCUAAAUGGGGACUUCGAUGGCGGAAACU